rnacentral:rRNA from 1 species
UACGUAGGGACCGAGCGUUGUCCGGAAUCAUUGGGCGUAAAGAGCGUGUAGGCGGCCACUUAAGUCCUGCGUGAAAUCUUGCGGCUCAACCGCAAGCGGUCGUGGGAAACUGGGUGGCUAGAGUGCGGGAGAGGAGAGUGGAAUUCCUGGUGUAGCGGUGGAAUGCGCAGAUAUCAGGAAGAGCACCCGUGGCGAAGGCGGCUCUCUGGAACGCAACUGACGCUGAGACGCGAAAGCGUGGGGAGCAAACGGG